AGUUAUAAAUUAUAUAAACCAAAAACCACCUUCUCAUUGUCCACUAUAAGUAAAAUCAUGUAUUUAAUUCAUUAUAAUAAAAAAAUUUAUCACAAUAGUUACAAUUUAAUUAAUAAAAGGAAAACUAAGAGCCAUAGUUAUAAAUUAUAUAAACUAAUAUCACACAUCAAAAAUCCAACUAGCCACCUCCUAAUGCAAAUGGAUUGGCAUCUUAUCUUUAUUCUUUAUUUUCAUU
rnacentral:misc_RNA from 1 species